ACCUAGCGGCGAACGGUUGAGUAACACGUAGGCAACCUGCCCCGGAGUGGGGGAUAACCCACGGAAACGCGGGCUAAUACCGCAUGUGGCCGGAGGACGCCUGUCCUCUGUGCUAAAGGAGCAAUUCGCUCCGGGAGGGGCCUGCGGCCUAUCAGCUUGUUGGUGAGGUAACGGCUCACCAAGGCGACGACGGGUAGCUGGUCUGAGAGGAUGAUCAGCCAGACAGGGACUGAGACACGGCCCUGACUCCUUCGGGGGGCAGCAAUGAGGGAUAUUGCACAAUGGGCGAAAGCCUGAUGCAGCGACGCCGCGUGGGUGAUGAAGUCUUUCGGGAUGUAAAGCCCUCUUCUCGGGGACGAUACGGACGGUACUCGAGGAAUAAGCCCCGGCUAACUCCGUGCCAGCAGCCGCGGUAAUACGGGGGGGGCGAGCGUUGUCCGGAUUUACUGGGCGUAAAGCGCGUGUAGGCGGUUUCUUAAGUCCGGGGUGAAAGGCGGAGGCUCAACCUCCGAGCGGCGCCGGAAACUGGGAGACUGGAGUGUCGGAGAGGGGAGUGGAAUUCCUGGUGUAGCGGUGAAAUGCGUAGAGAUCAGGAGGAACACCCGUGGCGAAGGCGGCUCCCUGGCCGAACACUGACGCUGAGACGCGAAAGCGCGGGGAGCGAACGGGAUUAGAUACCCCGGUAGUCCGCGCCGUAAACGAUGGUCACUAGGUGUACGCGGUAUCGACCCCGCGUGUGCCGCAGCUAACGCAAUAUGUGACCCGCCUGGGGAGUACGGCCGCAAGGUUGAAACUCAAAGGAAUUGACGGGGG
rnacentral:rRNA from 1 species